UACGAAGGGGGCUAGCGUUGUUCGGAUUUACUGGGCGUAAAGCGCACGUAGGCGGAUUGUUAAGUCAGGGGUGAAAUCCCGGAGCUCAACUCCGGAACUGCCUUUGAUACUGGCAAUCUUGAGAUUGGAGGAGGUUAGUGGAAUUCCCAGUGUAGAGGUGAAAUUCGUAGAUAUUGGGAAGAACACCAGUGGCGAAGGCGGCUAACUGGUCCAGUACUGACGCUGAGGCACGAAAGCGUGGGGAGCAAACAGG
rnacentral:rRNA from 1 species